CUACCUACGCAGCAGCAAUCAGGCUCACUGGACUUACUUUUCAAGAAGUUAAGGAAGAUAACUGGAGAUGUGAUAACGAUACCAGAAGACUGAGAAGAAACUGACCCUCAUUAGAAAGAUGAUGGAGACCACAUUUCCCCUACGCCGACAGACCAUAGUGAUGUCCUGCCCACCAGUGAACGACCUCAUGGACCUCUGGCCUGCUCUUAAAAUAGAGUCUGAGUUGUAUGCAGAGUUCCAGCGGAUUACAAAUCAGAACCUGCCCAACACGUGCUAUGCUGAGCUUGACCGCUAUCUUCCUCGACUGAUGACCUUAUUCAGACGGAAGGCAUCAAAAACUGGGAAGACAGCAGAUGCUCUGGCUGAAAUUUUAAAAAUCCACGAUGAACAGGAAAUCCAUGACAUACACAG